rnacentral:rRNA from 1 species
GAUGAACGCUGGCGGCGUGCCUAAUACAUGCAAGUCGAGCGAACAGACGAGGAGCUUGCUCCUCUGUCGUUAGCGGCGGACGGGUGAGUCACACGUGGAUAACCUACCUAUCACACUGGGAUACCUUCGGGAAACCGGAGCUUAUACCGGAUGAUAUAUUGAACCGCAUUGUUCAAUAGUGAAAGUCGGUUUUGCUUUCACUUAUAGCUUGUUACGCGCCGCAUUAGCUAGUUGGUGAGGUAACGGCUUACCAAGGCAGCGAUUCGUAGCCGACCUGAGAGGGGGAUGCGGGACAGAGAAGGUGAGAGACGACCCAGAGUCCUAGGGGAGGCAGAAGUAGGUAAGGUACGGAAAUGGGCGAAAGCCUGACGGAGCAGCGCAACGUUGGUGAAGAGGCGCUGCGGGUCGGAAAACGCUGUUAGUGGGGAAGAACAAAUGUGUAAGUAACGAAGCACGUCUGAACGGAACCGAAGCAGAAAGCCACGGCUAACUACGU